UGGGGAAUUUUGGACAAUGGGCGCAAGCCUGAUCCAGCCAUGCCGCGUGUCUGAAGAAGGCCUUCGGGUUGUAAAGGACUUUUGUCNGGGAAGAAAAGGNCGGGGUUAAUACCCCNGUNUGAUGACGGUACCUGAAGAAUAAGCACCGGCUAACUACGUGCCAGCAGCCGCGGUAAUACGUAGGGUGCGAGCGUUAAUCGGAAUUACUGGGCGUAAAGCGGGCGCAGACGGUUACUUAAGCAGGAUGUGAAAUCCCCGGGCUCAACCUGGGAACUGCGUUCUGAACUGGGUGACUAGAGUGUGUCAGAGGGAGGUAGAAUUCCACGUGUAGCAGUGAAAUGCGUAGAGAUGUGGAGGAAUACCGAUGGCGAAGGCAGCCUCCUGGGAUAACACUGACGUUCAUGCCCGAAAGCGUGGGUAGCAAACAGGAUUAGAUACCCUGGUAGUCCACGCCCUAAACGAUGUCGAUUAGCUGUUGGGCAGCAUGACUGCUUAGUAGCGAAGCUAACGCGUGAAAUCGACCGCCUGGGGAGUACGGUCGCAAGAUUA
rnacentral:rRNA from 1 species